rnacentral:rRNA from 1 species
GUUUAAGGCCCUGCCACCCUGAACAAGCCCAAUCCCGUCUGAUCUCAGAAGCUAAGCAGGUUUGGGCCUGGUUAGUACUUGGAUGGGAGACCACCUAAGAAGACCAGGUACUGUAGACG